rnacentral:rRNA from 1 species
UUUAAGGGCGUACGGUGGAUGCCUUGACUAAAAGUAGCGAUGAAGGACGUGGCGUAGCUGCGAUAAGCUUCGGGGAGGUGUGUAGCAACCUUUGAUCCGGAGAUUUCCGAAUGGGGAAACCCUGUCUCGCAAACCGAGACAAUCCCUCACCAAUUUUGUAUUUUAGAAAUUUUCUAGAGUCCAAAAUUGGUGAGGGACGCGCACCCUGGGAAGUGAAACAUCUCAGUACCAGGAGGAAAAGAAAAAAACUUGCCCGCCUUUGGCGGGUAAAUAUUUCCUUAGUAGCGGCGAGCGAAAAGGAAGAAGCCCAAACCCCUCACCACUUUUAUAUUUUUGCAAAGAAUUUUAAAAUUAAAAAAUUUGAAGAAAUUUUUUAGCUCAAAAAUUCAAAAGCAAAAAUAUAAAAGUGGUGAGGGGGGUUGUAAGAUGACAAUGUUUAUUUAAUUAGAGAGGAGUCAAAAAAUAAGUUAUUAGCUUAAGUUGCUGGAAAGCGACACCAUAGGAGGUGAUAGUCCCGUGAGCGAAAAUAAUUUAUCUCUUUUAUUGUUAUUCUUGAGUACCCCAGGACACGAAUGGCCGGGGGGAAUCCGGGAGAACUAAAUCCCAAGGCUAAAUAUACUUUUAGAUCGAUAGUGAACUAGUACCGUGAG